rnacentral:rRNA from 1 species
GACGAACGCUGGCGGCGUGCUUAACACAUGCAAGUCGUACGGUAAGGCCCUUUCGGGGGUACACGAGUGGCGAACGGGUGAGUAACACGUGAGUAACCUGCCCACAACUUUGGGAUAACGCUAGGAAACUGGUGCUAAUACUGGAUAUGUGCUCCUGCUGCAUGGUGGGGGUUGGAAAGCUCCGGCGGUUGUGGAUGGACUCGCGGCCUAUCAGCUUGUUGGUGGGGUAGUGGCCUACCAAGGCGGCGGCGGGUAGCCGGCCUGAGAGGGUGACCGGCCACAUUGGGACUGAGAUACGGCCCAGGCUCCUACGGGAGGCAGCAGUGGGGAAUAUUGCACAAUGGGCGCAAGCCUGAUGCAGCAACGCCGCGUGCGGGAUGACGGCCUUCGGGUUGUAAACCGCUUUCAGCAGGGACGAAGCUUUUUGUGACGGUACCUGCAGAAGAAGCACCGGCUAACUACGUG